UAGGGUACCAAAUCCCUAAUUUCUCCCAUUGUUAAAUCUCCCUCUCCCAUACUCCCAACUUUCUCCAGCCAUCAACGCCGCCGCCGCCUCCUCGCUCGUCACCUUCACCGCCUCAAUGCAGCCGCCGCCUCCAGCUCAUUGCAUCUACCUCCUCAACACCACCUUUAUCGCCUCCUCGAUCGCUGCCUCUACGUUUGUCGUCUCUAUCUCCCAUCGUCUAUUGGUUGUCUCCUCCAUUGCGGCCUCUAGCCCAUUGCAUCACCUCCUCAAUGUCGUCGUCGCCUCCUCAACGCUGCAACCGCCUCUUGCUCCAUCGCUGUUAACUAGUGAAUGCCUUCUUAUUAAGCUGCACAUGUAGACUCACAGAGUCGCUUCAGAGACGUGAUGGACUUGGUUGUAUCUCACUUUUUUUGUUUUUAAUCUUCAGAGAUUGUGAAUGCCUUCUUAUUAAUCACACUUUUUAUGUUUUUUUUUUUCCUGCUCAAUCAUUAAUAAUUUUUGUAUUAAUUAUUUUUUAUUUUAUUUCAGACAUGAUGAACUUGCUCGUAUCUUUUUUACAACAUAUUUUGAUAGUCCUUUCAAUUAUAUGCAACAAUGAUUGUAUUUUUAUUCGAGGUUAUAGAAAUUGAUUUUUGGUUCUUCUAAAGUUAGUUUCAAUUUGAGCAAAUGAUAUAUACUUUAACUUGGAUUUGAGAACAAAUUAACAUAGUUUCAGCUCAUGAUGUACAUGCCUACUAAUGUUGGCUCAUCAGCUCAUGAUUGUUUGCCAUUGUAUUCUUUGUGAAUGGAUCUUAUAAUAUGCAUCCUUUUUGAUUAGAUUUUUAGCAACAAAUUACUAUA